rnacentral:rRNA from 1 species
AAACUCAAAGGAAUUGACGGGGCCCGCACAAGCGGUGGAGCAUGUGGUUUAAUUCGACGCAACGCGAAGAACCUUACCAGGGCUUGACAUCCCUGACCGCGUAUGAAAGUACGUUUUCACCCUCGGGUGACAGGGAGACAGGUGCUGCAUGGCUGUCGUCAGCUCGUGUCGUGAGAUGUUGGGUUAAGUCCCGCAACGAGCGCAACCCUUGUCAUUAGUUGCUACAUUCAGUUGGGCACUCUAAUGAGACUGCCGGUGACAAGCCGGAGGAAGGUGGGGAUGACGUCAAGUCCUCAUGGCCCUUAUAGGUGGGGCUACACACGUCAUACAAUGGCUGGUACAAAGGGUUGCCAACCCGCGAGGGGGAGCCAAUCCCAUAAAGCCAGUCGUAGUCCGGAUCGUAGUCUGCAACUCGACUACGUGAAGUCGGAAUCGCUAGUAAUCGUGGAUCAGAAUGUCACGGUGAAUACGUUCCCGGGUCUU